AAAGUCAAGUUGGGAUUAUUUAUAUUCGAAUAACUCAUACAUAUGUUAACAAAAGUGGAAAAAGUUUGCAUGAUAUACAUAGUAAACAAAUAAUCAACUAUAGUUGAGAACAGGGACAUAUUAAUGGGAGAGAGCUGAGUAUGGUACGUGCCUAGUUGGGAGUCUUGGGGAUCGAAUGGUCUUUCUUUUUUAGAUUCUGACUA